ACACGCAGCCACCUGACUGUGGACGGCAACGUCUGAAACCAUGACCCAAGAGAAACCCAUCCUCCUGGAUGUUCCCGCUCUCAGGUGCUCCGGCACAGUGAUGGAAAGCUGGUUAGCAUCUCAUGUAAAUUCCCAAGAUGAUUGUCCGAUGAUAUGGUGGCAGAAUGUGGGUGAUUUGGGCAGAGAUGGUACAGCUUGCAAAGCCUAAGAUGCGUGCUGUCGGGCCCUUCCCAUGAAGUACUUGCAGACCCUGGCUUGCAGCAUUGAGUCCUCUGUGCAGCAAACGAAGAGUAAUAUCACGAGGCUUGACUUAGGAACCAGGACUGACCUUGGUCUUAGAAGGCCUUGCUCACCUAAAGUAGCAGGAAUGAAGAACAACAUUCUGGCUCUAAGUGGGCCAGGAGACUCGAGUUAACUUGAAUGUUAACAUAAAUCAGACCUGAUGGGGCCAGGGAUACAGCUCAGAGGCA